CCUUGACACAACUUGCUCAGGAGGAAUGCAAAGGAUGGGUGGGAUCUUCCCCAGCAUGAGAGUGAAAGGAAGCCACAUACCAAAGAGAUGACGGUGGCACAAGAAAUGCUGCAGCUGCUAAUUCCACCUCCACCCUGUGGGACAACUGCUUAGCAAUAUUUCAAAGGCAAAAACAAAGUACAGGAAAAAAGAAAAAAAAUGGAUUUAACAACUUCCUUGACUGGAGGUCUGGAUAAGAGUGGAGCACAUUUUAAAGUGGACUUUAUGGCAGAAAUACAUGUGGCUUUACAGACAUCUGUGCCUGGGAUUCACAGAGCCCAAGUGUACAUUUGUACAUGAAGCACAAUCAGCUAUUCAAGGCAUUUGGCAAGAAACUGGAAUAUUGAUGCCAUUUCAAUAUAAUACGUGUUCAUCUCCUGUGCAUCACUAAUGCCAGUUUUACCAGAAAGCUGUAGCUGAGAAUUCCAUCCAGAAUUCUUUCUGCCAUUCUUCAUUACCAGUGCUUGAAAGGGCAGUGUCCUCCUGCUGAACUUUUAAAUUGUUAAUUUCAGAAAAAUACAUUCCCUUUCAGUUUUAUGUAACACACGAAGAGAAAAUGAGUUUAAGAGUGGAGACAGAGUGUCAUAUAUCAAUGGCUGGGAAACAAAAUUUAAAGAGAAUGAACUCAAGAGAUCUACAGCAUAAAGACUAUAGUUAAUAACAAUGUUUUACAUACUUAAAAAUUAAUAAGAGAAUCAAUUUGAAGUGUGUUCACCACAAAAAAAUGAUAGGUAUGUGAGGUAAUGCAUAUGUUGAUUAGCUUGAUAUAGCCAUUCCACAAUAUAUACGUAUUUCAAAACAUCAUGUUGUACAUAUAAAUAUAGUUUUUAUUUUGCAAUUUAAAAAAUUGUUCUCAUUUGACCUUUGUACUUCCCUGACUAUAUUUCUGUGUCUCUAUAUCCCAUUUAUCUGCUUGUCUGUCUAUCUUCACCUCAUUCACUUUCUCUUCCUUCAAGCUUUCACAUUGCAUGUCAUUGUUUGAUGGCUCUGCAGUCAGGAUGGACAAUUAAGAGACUGUUUCCCGAACAUCCACUAUGAGUUGGGUAGGAAUGUCUUUGAACUCAUGAAAAUUGCCAUCUGGAAGUGAAGACAAAUAUGAGACAUACUUAAAAGUGUGAUGAGUGUCAAGAAAAGAAAUACAUAGGAUACUCUGGAAUCAAAUAGCGAUAGUAACAGUAAUAACAACUAAGGUUAAUUCCAUGCUCACUAUGUACCCAGGCACUCUUCUCAGUGAUUUAUAUGUAUUAUUAAUUUUAAUGUACAUAUCACAUCCAUGAGGUAAUGUACUAUCACUUUCCAUUUUAUAGAUGUGAAAAUUAAAGCCCAGAGGGA
rnacentral:lncRNA from 1 species